rnacentral:rRNA from 1 species
AUUGAACGCUGGCGGCAUGCUUUACACAUGCAAGUCGAACGGUAACAGGCCGCAAGGUGCUGACGAGUGGCGAACGGGUGAGUAAUUCAUCGGAACGUGCCCAGUCGUGGGGGAUAACUACUCGAAAGAGUAGCUAAUACCGCAUACGAUCUAUGGAUGAAAGCGGGGGACCGUAAGGCCUCGCGCGAUUGGAGCGGCCGAUGUCAGAUUAGGUAGUUGGUGGGGUAAAGGCUCACCAAGCCAACGAUCUGUAGCUGGUCUGAGAGGACGACCAGCCACACUGGGACUGAGACACGGCCCAGACUCCUGCGGGAGGCAGCAGUGGGGAAUUUUGGGCAAUGGGCGCAAGCCUGAUCCAGCAAUGCCGCGUGCAGGAAGAAGGCCUUCGGGUUGUAAACUGCUUUUGUGCGGAGCGAAACGGCUCUGGUUAAUACCCGGGGCUAAUGACGGUACCGUAAGAAUAAGCACCGGCUAACUACGUG